GGUGCUAAUACCGCAUAACCAUAGUUACCGCAUGGUAACUAUGUAAAAGGUGGCUAUGCUACCGCUUUUGGAUGGGCCCGCGGCGCAUUAGCUAGUUGGUGGGGUAAAGGCUUACCAAGGCAAUGAUGCGUAGCCGAACUGAGAGGUUGAUCGGCCACAUUGGGACUGAGACACGGCCCAAACUCCUACGGGAGGCAGCAGUAGGGAAUCCUCCACAAUGGGCGAAAGCCUGAUGGAGCAACGCCGCGUGGGUGAAGAAGGUCUUCGGAUCGUAAAACCCUGUUGUUAGAGAAGAAAGUGCGUGAGAGUAACUGUUCACGUUUCGACGGUAUCUAACCAGAAAGCCACGGCUAACUACGUGCCAGCAGCCGCGGUAAUACGUAGGUGGCAAGCGUUAUCCGGAUUUAUUGGGCGUAAAGGGAACGCAGGCGGUCUUUUAAGUCUGAUGUGAAAGCCUUCGGCUUAACCGGAGUAGUGCAUUGGAAACUGGGAGACUUGAGUGCAGAAGAGGAGAGUGGAACUCCAUGUGUAGCGGUGAAAUGCGUAGAUAUAUGGAAGAACACCAGUGGCGAAAGCGGCUCUCUGGUCUGUAACUGACGCUGAGGUUCGAAAGCGUGGGUAGCAAACAGGAUUAGAUACCCUGGUAGUCCACGCCGUAAACGA
rnacentral:rRNA from 1 species